AGCAGCCGCGGUAAUUCCAGCUCCAAUAGCGUAUAUUAAAGUUGCUGCAGUUAAAAAGCUCGUAGUUGAAUUUCGGGACCAAUAUGUCGGUCGUGCCUCGGUACUUACUGGCAUCGUUGGUUUCUCCCUUCUGACGAACCAUGAUGUCAUUUAUUUGGUGUCGUGGGGAAUCAGGACUGUUACUUUGAAAAAAUUAGAGUGUUUAAAGCAGGCUCACGCUUGAAUACAUUAGCAUGGAAUAAUGAAAUAGGACGUUUGAUUCUAUUUUGUUGGUUUCUAGGAUCGACGUAAUGAUUAAUAGGGAUAGUUGGGGGCAUUAGUAUUCAAUUGUCAGAGGUGAAAUUCUUGGAUUUAUUGAAGACUAACUACUGCGAAAGCAUUUGCCAAGGAUGUUUUCAUUAAUCAAGAACGAAAGUUAGGGGAUCGAAGACGAUCAGAUACCGUCGUAGUCUUAACCAUAAACUAUGCCGACUAGGGAUCGGAUGAUGUUAAUUUUUUAAUGACUCAUUCGGCGCCUUACG
rnacentral:rRNA from 1 species